CAGUCGCCGCGGGAAUACAGAGGAUGCAAGCGUUAUUCGGAAUGAUUGGGCGUAAAGCGUCUGUAGGUGGCUUUUGAAGUACGCCGUCAAAUCCCAGGGCUCAACCCUGGACAGGCGGUGGAAACUACCAAGCUGGAGUACGGUAGGGGCAGAGGGAAUUUCCGGUGGAGCAGUGAAAUGCGUUGAGAUCGGAAAGAACACCAACGGCGAAAGCGACUCUCUGGUCUGUAACUGACGCUGAGGAGCGAAAGCGUGGGGAGCGAACAGGAUUAGAUACCCCCGUAGUCCCUGUCUCUUAUAC
rnacentral:rRNA from 1 species